rnacentral:pre_miRNA from 1 species
CCUUCUGGAUGAGCAAAGAAAGCGGUUUUUUGAGACGGAAUCUACUCCCUGUGAAAAUGCUGUGAA